UACAGAGGUCUCAAGCGUUGUUCGGAUUCAUUGGGCGUAAAGGGUGCGUAGGUGGCGCCGUAAGUCGGGUGUGAAAUUUCGGAGCUUAACUCCGAAACUGCAUUCGAUACUGCGGUGCUUGAGGACUGGAGAGGAGACUGGAAUUCAUGGUGUAGCAGUGAAAUGCGUAGAGAUCAUGAGGAAGACCAGUGGCGAAGGCGGGGUCUCUGGACAGUUCCUGACACUGAGGCACGAAGGCCAGGGGGAGCAAACGGGG
rnacentral:rRNA from 1 species